rnacentral:rRNA from 1 species
AUACGGAGGAUCCGAGCGUUAUCCGGAUUUAUUGGGUUUAAAGGGAGCGUAGGCGGGAGAUCACGUCAGCUGUGAGCUGUAGAUGCUCAACAUCUGCACUGCAGUUGAAACUGGUUUUCUUGAGUGCGUAAGGGGCCGGCGGAAUUCGUCGUGUAGCGGGGAAAUGCUUAGACAUGACGAAGAACUCCGAUCGGGAAGGCAGCCUGCCGGGCCGCGACUGACGCUGAAGCUCGAAGGUGCGGGUAUCGAACAGGAUUAGAUACCCUGGUAGUCCGCACAGUAAACGAUGGAUACUCGCUGUCGGCGAUAUACGGUCGGUGGCCAAGCGAAAGCGUUAAGUAUCCCACCUGGGGAGUACGCCGGCAACGGUGAAACUCAAAUGAAUUGACGGGG